AUGAACGCUAGCGACAGGCCUAACACAUGCAAGUCAGGGCAGCACAAGGAGCAAUCUGAGGUGGCGACCGGCGCACGGUGAGUAACACGUAUGCAACCUGCCUGUAAGCGGGGAAUAACCCGUUGAAAGACGGACUAAUACCGCAUAAUACUAAAUUACUGCAUGGUAAUUUAUUUAAACAUUUAUGGCUUACAGAUGGGCAUGCGCAUGAUUAGCUAGUUGGAGAGGUAACGGCUCCCCAAGGCAACGAUCAUUAGGGGUUCUGAGAGGAAGGUCCCCCACACUGGUACUGAGACACGGACCAGACUCCUACGGGAGGCAGCAGUGAGGAAUAUUGGUCAAUGGACGAGAGUCUGAACCAGCCAAGUCGCGUGCAGGAAGAAUGUCCUUAAUGGAUUGUAAACUGCUUUUGCAGGGGAAUAAAGUGCAUCACGUGUGAUGUUUUGUAUGUACUCUGCGAAUAAGGAUCGGCUAACUCCGUGCCAGCAGCCGC
rnacentral:rRNA from 1 species